ensembl:snoRNA LOC120101325 small nucleolar RNA SNORA17
CCUUCCCCUAGAGGUGCAGCAUGGCUGCUGUCUCACCUGUGAGUUCUUAGGUGGCAGAGAGGAUAGAGGCCCUGUCUCUUUUCAGUGUUCUGACCUAUGAACAUCUGAACCAUUAGUAGCCUACCAUU